AUGCUCUUCAGCAGCUUGUUCUGUGACUCGAUAUCAUCAGAGAACUUUUUUGGUCAUCCUGGUGUUGAGAGAUGCCCAUUCCUGGGGAACAUCAAUGGAGCCACAACCUUUUCAUUUUCUUCUGCUUUGCCUGUAGCUGCUCGGGGAAAUAAGGGCCUGAUCUUUGAGGAUGAACCAGGCUUUGAGUCAGCAUUCAAGAUUUUCCAUGAACAGGAUGGGAUAGUUCCCCUUUCAGGAAGAUCAUACGUGCCUAAAGAGAACCAUAGUGAGAUCACUGAUGUCAAUCCUGAACCUGCUCUACCCUUUAAUCCAUUUGCUGCUAGAGCCGCUACCAUAAGUCUAUCAGCCUUUGGACCAUUUGGGUUUAACUUCUAUAAUGGCAAGGGCAAAAAGCAGAACAAGAAGCUCAACAAUCUAGACCAUUCACACAAGAAUCCCAACAAGCCAGAUCAGAAUUCCAUGAAGGUAAUGCCUUUGUUUUUUCUUGAUUCCCCCUCUUAA
rnacentral:rRNA from 1 species